rnacentral:tRNA from 1 species
UCCUUUGUUGUGUAAAGGUAGCACACUCGGCGCGUUUGUAUUCGAGAGGUCCAGGUUCGAGUCCCGGCGAGGGCA